UACGGAGGGUGCGAGCGUUUGUCCGGAAUUACUGGGCGUAAAGAGCUCGUAGGUGGUUUGUCGCGUUUGUCCGUGAAAAACUCACAACUCAAUUGUGGGCGUGCGGGCGAUACGGGCAGACUGGAGUACUGCAGGGGGAGACUGGAAUUCCUGGUGUAGCGGUGGAAUGCGCAGAUAUCAGGAGGAACACCGGUGGCGAAGGCGGGUCUCUGGGCAGUAACUGACGCUGAGGAGCGAAAAGCGUGGGGGAGCGAACAGG
rnacentral:rRNA from 1 species